UACGUAGGGGGCAAGCGUUGUCCGGAAUUAUUGGGCGUAAAGAGCGUGUAGGCGGUCCGAUAAGUCGGCUGUGAAAGUCCAGGGCUCAACUCUGGAAUGCCGGCCGAUACUGUCGGACUAGAGUCCGGAAGAGGCAAGUGGAAUUCCCGGUGUAGCGGUGAAAUGCGCAGAUAUCGGGAGGAACACCAAUGGCGAAGGCAGCUUG
rnacentral:rRNA from 1 species